CAACUUAGUAAUGGUAGUUUCCAUUUUUGCAUCCAGAUUUCAAAACACUGUCUUCUAUUUCAUUCCCAGUUAGUUGUACACAGUUCAAGAAAAAAUCUCUGCUCAUCCUUGUCUGAUGGGAGUUGCUGUUUCUUCCCCAUUUGCUAAACCCAGUGACGUGAAAAAUGGCUUACAAUCUGUCACUGUGAAAUCCAUUCAUUUUGAUGAAGAUGAAGCCAAAACACUUGUUAGAUCCAUCAGUUACAAUAGUUUAGAGCCAGAGCCAUUGAUAUUAAUAUCUGUUGGUUCUAAAAAGAUGGUAUCAGAGGGAUCGGUUAGCUUCAAAGGGAUCGAUUUGGAGCUAUCGGUUUCGGCUAAGUCGCCUCCAUUGGAUAAACCAGAGAAUGUACCCAUUAAAGCUUUCAUAGAGACCCCAAAGCAAUCACCAGUUUUUGAUCCAAGUAAUCCACAACAUGAGGCUGCAAUAAGGUUACAAAAAGUAUACAAGAGUUUUAGGACAAGGCGAAAGCUAGCGGAUUGCGCGGUUCUUGUCGAGCAAACAUGGUGGAAGCUUUUAGAUUUUGCAGAGCUGAAGAGGAGUUCUAUAUCGUUCUUCGACAUAGGAAAACACGAAACGGCGAUUUCGCGUUGGUCAAGAGCAAGAACCAGAGCUGCUAAAGUUGGUAAAGGUUUAUCCAAGAACGAAAAGGCUCAAAAGCUUGCAUUGCAACAUUGGCUUGAAGCAAUCGAUCCGAGGCAUCGAUACGGACAUAAUUUACACUUUUAUUACCAUCAAUGGCUCCACUCUCAGAGUAAAGAACCCUUUUUUUACUGGCUGGAUAUUGGAGAAGGGAAAGAAGUAAAUAUCGAAAAAUGUCCGAGAUCGAAGCUUCUACUGCAAUGCAUCAAAUAUCUCAGUCCGAUAGAACGGAAGCCUUAUGAAGUUAUGGUGGUAGACGGGAAGUUCGUAUACAAGCAAACAGGGAAGCCUGUCCAUACCAUCGAAGAAACCGGCGAUGCUAAGUGGAUUUUUGUCCUCAGUACAUCGAAGAUCUUGUACGUUGGUGUGAAGAAAAAGGGUACAUUUCAACAUUCGAGUUUCUUGGCAGGUGGUGCCACUAUUGCUGCCGGAAGAUUAGUUGUUGACAAUGGCAUCCUUAAGGCAGUUUGGCCACACAGUGGACAUUACCGUCCAUUAGAAGAAAACUUUAACGACUUCAUUUCAUUUCUAAGGGAGAACAACGUAGAUCUUAACAAUGUCAAGAUGACUCCGGUGGAUGAGGAAGGAAACUUGGCUGACAAGCAAAGAAGCAAUAACCAUCUUAGAUGUAACUCGUCUGAAGAUGACUUUAACUUCGAGGCUGAUGAGAUCAGUGUCAAAGACUCGAUCGAUCAAAUACGGUAGUUGAUUCAUGGGGAAUAUGAAACCGAGUCAAGGAGGUUCCACAGCCUUAGCUGAAAACAAUGUAGCUAUUGUGCCUAGUUGUAAUAAUGACAAUUUGAUGGAUUCGUCUUUGGUGGAUGGUUAUGCGAUAAAGGAGGAAACCGUUACUUCGGAACUGGAUUCAUAUGAAAAUCAUGCAGAUAAUAAGGUGGAAGACCCUUCCUGUUGAAUUGCUUCUUGAAAGGGUUAACUCUAAAAGAGGAUCCACAUGCAAGUGGAGUACAGGAGCAGCCUAACAGAUUCUGGAUUGGUUAUACAAAGAAAACCCUCGAAACUCCAAUUCUGCGCUUGGGAAUAACUGAAGAAAUAAGAACCUUGAGUUUAUCUGUGCUCAAGACGAAAAUUUCAUGACAGAGAAGCAUCCAUUCCUAGAGUGCAGUAUUAAAAAGGAACACUUGCAGCUAACAUACCACAGUCACAAGUACAUUCUUAGUUAAUUCAUUCUUUGGUGUGAAUAGAAAGAUGAUAUAGGACUUGCUUUAUCAUUCUUUUAAAAAACCAGAUCCCCUGUACACAUUUAAAAAAAAACUAUCUUGUACCAUACUCUAGUACAAAAUUUGCUUCACUAUUUGAAUACAGUCUACAAGUGGAUUCACAA